UACGGAGGGUGCAAGCGUUGCUCGGAAUUAUUGGGCGUAAAGCGCACGCAGGUGGCAUGAUAAGUCAGUUGUGAAACUCCCUGGCUUAACCAGGGAACGGCAGCUGAAACUGUCCUGCUUGAGUACGGAAGAGGGGAGCGGAAUUCCCAGUGUAGAGGUGAAAUUCGUAGAGAUUGGGAGGAACACCGGUGGCGAAAGCGGCUCCCUGGUCCGAUACUGACACUCAUGUGCGAAAGCGUGGGGAGCAAACAGG
rnacentral:rRNA from 1 species